rnacentral:ncRNA from 1 species
GUGGGUAGAGGUGCAUCAGAAAUCAGUACUCUCGGGUAGGCAGUGCCGGCCGUAUCCCGGAAGAAAAGGGUCUGAUGCCGAAGAGAGGCGGGGCACGGUGCGUUCCGUUUUUCUGGGGGCAGGCGCGAACAGCGCUGUCACUGUCAUUGCAUCACGCAAUGGAGAGCUAA